rnacentral:rRNA from 1 species
CAAUAGCGUAUAUUAAAGUUGUUGCAGUUAAAAAGCUCGUAGUUGGAUUUCUGAUCGAGACAUCAGGUCGGGUCCGAGAGGAUCAUGUACUUUGAUUUUGUUUUGAUCAUCCUUGGGGAGAGCAUUUCUGGCAUUCAGUUGUCGGGAUUGGGAUCCUCAUCGUUUACUGUGAAAAAAUUAGAGUGUUCAAAGCAGGCCUCGGCCUCUGAAUACAUUAGCAUGGAAUAAUAAGAUAGGACUUUGGUGGUCUAUUUUGUUGGUUUGCACGCCAAAGUAAUGAUUAAUAGGGAUAGUUGGGGGUAUUCGUAUUCAAUUGUCAGAGGUGAAAUUCUUGGAUUUAUGGAAGACGAACUACUGCAAAAGCAUUUACCAAGGAUGUUCUCAUUAA